UCUCUGCUCUCUCUCUUCGUUCUGCCGCCGCCGCUGCCGUUCAACGGCGCCGUCGCCGCCGGCGAGCGGCGCGGCCUCUCCUCCUCUCUCCCUGAACUCUUCCCCCCCCUCUUCUCCUCUAUCUCUCUCGCUCAAUCUCGGCCGCUGGAAAGGCACAGCAGCGCAACCACGCCGCCGCUCCGUCGCCUCCGCCUCUCUUCCAUGGCAGAUCCGCCGCCGCUGCAACUGGAUCUCGGCGAGCACCGUCGACUGGAAGCCGCUGGAGCUGCUGCUGCUUCGCCGGGAGUCGAGCUGUCGCCGCCUGGAGCUGCUGCUGCUCGCCCGGAGUCGCCGCUGGCUGGCCUGCGAUCGACGGCCAGCAGCUCGCUGGAGGAGCGCCGCCGUCAGCCGCUGCCGUUGGCAGCAAGAAUCCGGCAGCCGCCUCUCCUGGAGUCGCCGUCGCCGUGAGUCGCUGUGAGGAGCCGAGCACCGUCUCACAAAGAUCGGAGACAACCGCGGCUCCGUCGCCGUCCGUCAACCGCCGGCGACGACGAGCCACCGAGGCUGCCCUCCCCCUGACCUCGACUCACACACGCAAUCAGCCAACACAAAGGGUUUUUGUGCGAGAAUCAUAUACUGUAAUUGCUCAAAUAAAAGUUUUAACUCUUUCCUUGUAACUUCAGUUCACAAGUACAUAUUUAGUAACUGUAAAUCUAUGAAUUUGCUACUCAUUUUCUUCAUUUAUCAAAGCAUAUGUAAAUCUGAGUUAAUGAGCAUGUGUUGGUAUUCUGGAAUUGAUGUAUACAAUUGAAGGAUAAUAUAUAAAUUAGAAAUAUAAA